rfam:Schistosoma margrebowiei strain Zambia genome assembly, scaffold: SMRZ_scaffold0006234
AUCCAGCUGGCGAGUCCCACAUAGGACGAAACGUGCGUCCUGUAU